rnacentral:rRNA from 1 species
UACGUAGGUGGCAAGCGUUGUCCGGAAUCAUUGGGCGUAAAGGGCGCGUAGGUGGUUCUGUAUGUCUACCGUGAAAGCGUACGGCUCAACCGUAUUUUGUCGGUAGAAACUGCAGGACUUGAGGCUGGGAGGGGCUGGUGGAAUUCCCUGUGUAGCGGUGAAAUGCGUAGAGAUGGGGGAGAACACUCGUGGCGAAGGCGGCCAGCUAGACCAGUUCUGACACUGAGGCGCGACAGCGUGGGGAGCAAACAGG